rnacentral:rRNA from 1 species
GACGAACGCUGGCGGCGUGCUUAACACAUGCAAGUCGAACGAAGUGGCGAACGGGUGAGUAACGCGUAAUCACCCUGCCCUUCAGAGGGGGACCACAGUUGGAAACGACUGCUAAUACCGCAUACUGAAGGAGGGGAUUGCGUCUGAUUAGCUAGUUGGGGGGGAAACGGCCUACCAAGGCGAUGACAGGUAGCCGGUCUGUGAGGAUGAACGGCCACAUUGGGACUGAGACACGGCCCAGACUCCUACUGGAGGCAGCAGUGGGGAAUCUUCCGCAAUGGACGAAAGUCUGACGGAGCAACGCCGCGGGAGUGAUGACGGCCUUCGGGUUGUAAAGCUCUGUUAAUCGGGACGCGGUACCGGAAUAGAAAGCCACGGCUAACUACGUGCCAGCCGCCGCGGUAAUAC